rnacentral:rRNA from 1 species
CCUACGGGGUGCAGCAGUGAGGAAUAUUGGUCAAUGGACGAGAGUCUGAACCAGCCAAGUAGCGUGAAGGAUGACUGCCCUAUGGGUUGUAAACUUCUUUUAUAUGGGAAUAAAAUGUUCCACGUGUGGGAUUUUGUAUGUACCAUAUGAAUAAGGAUCGGCUAACUCCGUGCCAGCAGCGGCGGUAAUACGGAGGAUCCGAGCGUUAUCCGGAUUUAUUGGGUUUAAAGGGAGCGUAGGUGGAUUGUUAAGCCAGUUGUGAAAGUUUGCGGCUCAACCGGAAAAUUGCAGUUGAAACUGGCAGUCUUGAGUACAGUAGCGGUGGGCGGAAUGCGUGGUGUAGCGGUGAAAUGCUUAGAUAUCACGAAGAACUCCGAUUGCGAAGGCAGUUCACUGGACUGCAACUGACACUGAGGCUCGAAAGUGUGGGUAUCAAACAGGAUUAGAUACCCCUGUAGUC